rnacentral:rRNA from 1 species
GUACCAUAACCGACACAGGUGGGUAGGUAGAGUAUACUAAGGGGCGCGAGAUAACUCUCCCUAAGGAACUCGGCAAAAUGACUCCGUAACUUCGGGAGAAGGAGUGCCUUAUUUAUAAGGUUGCAAUAACAAGAUCCAAGCAACUGUUUAUCAAAAACACAGGUCUCCGCUAAGUCGUAAGACGAUGUAUGGGGGCUGACGCCUGCCCAGUGCCAGAAGGUUAAAGAAGUUGGUUAGUGUAUGCGAAGCUGAUGACUGAAGCCCUGGUGAACGGCGGCCGUAACUAUAACGGUCCUAAGGUAGCGAAAUUCCUUGUCGGGUAAGUUCCGACCCGCACGAAAGGCGUAAUGAUUUGGAUACUGUCUCGGAGAGAGGCUCGGUGAAAUAGACUUGUCUGUGAAGAUGCGGACUACCUGCACCAGGACAGAAAGACCCUAUGAAGCUUUACUGUAACUUGAAAUUGGAAUUGGACUUUGCUUGCGCAGUAUAGGUGGGAAGCGUUGAAGAUAUUCUUGCGGGAGUAUUGGAGCUAUCAGUGAGAUACCACUCUUGUAAUGUUAGAUUUCUAACUUUGAACCAUAAUCUGGUCAAAGAACAGUUUCAGGUGGGCAGUUUGACUGGGGCGGUCGCCUCCCAAAUGGUAACGGAGGCGUACAAAGGUUUCCUCUGAACGGAUAGAAAUCGUAUCUAGAGUGUAAAGGCAUAAGGAAGCUUGACUGUGAGACCUACAAGUCGAGCAGGGACGAAAGUCGGUCUUAGUGAUCUGACGGUACUGAGUGGAAAGGCCGUCACUCAACGGAUAAAAGUUACUCUAGGGAUAACAGGCUGAUCUCCCCCAAGAGUUCACAUCGACGGGGAGGUUUGGCACCUCGAUGUCGGCUCAUCGCAUCCUGGGGCGGUAGUACGUCCCAAGGGUUGGGCUGUUCGCCCAUGAAAGCGGUACGCGAGCUGGGUUCAGAACGUCGUGAGACAGUUCGGUCCAUAUCCGGUGUAGGCGUUAGAAUAUUGAGAGGAGCCUUCUUUAGUACGAGAGGACCGAGAAGGACACACCGCUGGUGUACCAGUUAUCGUGCCAACGGUAAACGCUGGGUAGCUAUGUGUGGAGUGGAUAACCGCUGAAAGCAUCUAAGUGGGAAGCCCACCUCAAGAUGAGUAUUCUCACAGGGUUAACCUGGUAAGGUCACGGGAAGACCACCCGUUAAUAGGUAGCUAUGUGU